UAGUCCACGCCGUAAACGAUGGUCACUCGAUAUACGUAUUUCUACAUACGUGUGUCUAAGCGAAAGCGUUAAGUGACCCACCUGGGGAGUACGUUCGCAAGAAUGAAACUCAAAGGAAUUGACGGGGGCCCGCACAAGCGGUGGAGCAUGUGGUUUAAUUCGAUGAUACGCGAGGAACCUUACCAGGGCUUAAAUGUAAGUUGCAUUAGCUAGAGAUAGCUAUUUCUUCGGACUACUUACAAGGUGCUGCAUGGUUGUCGUCAGCUCGUGCCGUGAGGUGUCAGGUUAAGUCCUAUAACGAGCGCAACCCCUGUUGUUAGUUGCCAGCGAGUAAUGCCGGGAACUCUAACAAGACUGCCAGUGCAAACUGUGAGGAAGGUGGGGAUGACGUCAAAUCAUCACGGCCCUUACGUCCUGGGCUACACACGUGCUACAAUGGUAGGUACAGAGAGCAGCCACUGCGUGAGCAGGAGCGAAUCUAUAAAACCUAUCAC
rnacentral:rRNA from 1 species